AUUGAACGCUGGCGGCAGGCCUAACACAUGCAAGUCGAGCGGAUGAAGGGAGCUUGCUCCUGGAUUCAGCGGCGGACGGGUGAGUAAUGCCUAGGAAUCUGCCUGGUAGUGGGGGAUAACGUCCGGAAACGGGCGCUAAUACCGCAUACGUCCUGAGGGAGAAAGUGGGGGAUCUUCGGACCUCACGCUAUCAGAUGAGCCUAGGUCGGAUUAGCUAGUUGGUGGGGUAAAGGCCUACCAAGGCGACGAUCCGUAACUGGUCUGAGAGGAUGAUCAGUCACACUGGAACUGAGACACGGUCCAGACUCCUACCGGAGGCAGCAGUGGGGAAUAUUGGACAAUGGGCGAAAGCCUGAUCCAGCCAUGCCGCGUGUGUGAAGAAGGUCUUCGGAUUGUAAAGCACUUUAAGUUGGGAGGAAGGGCAGUAAGUUAAUACCUUGCUGUUUUGACGUUACCAACAGAAUAAGCACCGGCUAACUUCGUG
rnacentral:rRNA from 1 species